CACGGAGUAAAGAGGGCUUCGGCUCUCGCCAUCGGAUGAGCCUAUGCAAGAUUAGCUUGUUGGUAAGGUAAUGGCUUACCAAGGCUACGAUCUUUAGCUGGUUUGAGAGGACGACCAGCCACAUCGGGACUGAGACACGGCCCGGACUUCUACGGAAGGCAGCAGUAGGGAAUAUUGGACAAUGAGCGAAAGCUUGAUCCAGCUAUGCCGCGUGUGCGAUGAAGACCUUAGGGUUGUAAAGCACUUUAGGUUAUGAGAAAAGAUUUGGCAAUAAUACCAUCAAAUUUUGAUGUU
rnacentral:rRNA from 1 species